rnacentral:rRNA from 1 species
GACGGAGGAUGCAAGCGUUAUCCGGAAUGAUUGGGCGUAAAGCGUCCGCAGGUGGCAGUUCAAGUCUGCUGUCAAAGACCGGGGCUUAACUUCGGAAAGGCAGUGGAAACUGAACAGCUAGAGUAUGGUAGGGGCAGAGGGAAUUCCUGGUGUAGCGGUGGAAUGCGCAGAUAUCAGGAGGAACACCAAUAGCGAAGGCAGCUCGCUGGGACGGUAUUGACGCUAAGGCGCGAAAGCGUGGGGAGCAAACAGG